GACGAACGCUGGCGGCGUGCCUAAUACAUGCAAGUCGAGCGGGUCUCGAGGGGCUUGCCCCUUGAGAUUAGCGGCGGACGGGUGAGUAACACGUGGGCAACCUGCCUGUAAGACUGGGAUAACACCGGGAAACCGGUGCUAAUACCGGAUAACUCUUUACCUCUCAUGAGGUGAAGCUGAAAGUCGGUUUCGGCUGUCACUUACAGAUGGGCCCGCGGCGCAGUAGCUAGUUGGUGAGGUAACGGCUCACCAAGGCGACGAUGCGUAGCCGACCUGAGAGGGUGAUCGGCCACACUUGGACUGAGACACGGCCCAGACUCCUACGGGAGGCAGCAGUAGGGAAUCUUCCGCAAUGGACGAAAGUCUGACGGAGCAACGCCGCGUGAGUGAUGAAGGCCUUCGGGUCGUAAAACUCUGUUGUUAGGGAAGAACAAGUAUCGGAGUAACUGCCGGUACCUUGACGGUACCUAACCAGAAAGCCACGGCUAACUACGUGCCAGCAGCCGCAGUAAAAC
rnacentral:rRNA from 1 species